AGAUUGCGUUAUGUUCUGAUUUGUCACCACCAAGAACACCACCUGCCUUUUUCUUGCUGCUAAAAGUUAAUAAACCAAUACAUUCACUUCGCAGCCCCAGAUACAAAUCCUGCCUUACCUUCCAUUGGAAAAAACAAUGAUUUAACUCAUCUUGGGUGAAAGACUUAAUAAUUUUCUUCCCGGAGAUUUUCAUGCCAACUGAAAUCUUAAAUAACAUGGAUAAGACAGACAGCUCCUUAAACUGCUUGCCCCACAAAGUACCCAGAGGAUCGGCAACUGUAAUAAAAUACUGAACUUUUAGCGUCUACUGAUCUUCAGUGCCAAGACUAAGAGAGAGCCAUUGAGGGAGUAGACCUGCCAGGACAAUCGUUGUAUUUUCUUUGGGAUAUCUUUUCUUAGUGACUGAUUCUGAAUUUUAAUUUUGUAAAAGUACAUGAGGGAAAUGAAAAAAUCACUUGCAGAAUCAUUUUUUCUAAAAGAUAAUCUCUUUACAAAUUUUGACUUUAGCCUAUGGAAUGUUUUCAAAUGCUUGGAGUAUUUAAACUUUUUUUGAAAUUGGCUGUCAUCUUGGGUAGAUAAUGUGGGAGUUAUUUUAUUUUUUUCAUGCUAUAUCAGGAAAAUGAAUGCAUAGCUCAUCUCACUGUAUAUUUUCCAAAUCUUGAAAUUUCAAAGCCAGCUAAAAAGCAUAGAAAUGUAAUGGGUAUUUCAAUCCUGGCAUUGUUUCACAGAUUUCAGAGAACAGAGGCUAAAAAAAUAGUAUAGAGGCAUUGAUUUGAUUGUGCAAGAAAAUUUGUGGUUCUGGCAGUAAUUACUUCAAGUAGAACCCCAUCCAGCUACCCAAAAGUAAAGAUUCCCAAGAGCCCAAAGCUAAUUCUUUCAAAUGUAUUGAUUUUCUUGUUAAAUGUAAAGAUUAGUCAGUUGAAUACACUGAAAUUCAAAAUUAGAAAAGGCCUGUUGUUGUUAAACUUAAACAACUGAUGCUAACAACUACUUGUUUGUCAUAUGUGUGCACUAAUCCUAUUGAUCAAGUAAUAAAUGCCAUCAUUCAAGAAAAA